AACGCGAAGAACCUUACCAAGUCUUGACAUCUGGUGACCGGGAAGUAACGUUCCCUUUCCUUCGGGACAGGCAAGACAGGUGGUGCAUGGUUGUCGUCAGCUCGUGUCGUGAGAUGUUGGGUUAAGUCCCGCAACGAGCGCAACCCUUAUCCUUAGUAGCCAGCAUGAAAGAUGGGCACUCUAGGGAGACUGCCAGGGAGAACCUGGAGGAAGGUGGGGAUGACGUCAAAUCAUCAUGCCCCUUAUGAUUUGGGCUACACACGUGCUACAAUGGCGUAAACAAAGGGAAGCGAGAGGGUGACCUUAAGCRAAUCUCAAAAAUAACGUCUCAGUUCGGAUUGUAGUCUGCAACUCGACUACAUGAAGCUGGAAUCGCUAGUAAUCGCGAAUCAGCAKGUCGCGGUGAAUACGUUCCCGGGUCUUGUACACAC
rnacentral:rRNA from 1 species